rnacentral:tRNA from 1 species
GCGAGGGUGGUGAAAUUGGCAGACACGCAGGACUUAGGAUUCUGUUCCUUAAGGAGUGCGGGUUCAAAUCCCGCCCCUCGCACCA